GGAAGUAGCUCAGUGGUAGAGCACAUGCUUAGCAUGCACGAGGUCCUGGGUUCAAUCCCCAGUACCUCCA
rnacentral:tRNA from 1 species